CUCCAUUGUGAUACCAACUCCCCAUUUUUGUCCCUGGAAACAACUUUAAAUUUGUUGGUUGUUUUGGGUCAGGUAAGUUAAUAUCUGAUAGCAUCUGUGAGACCUCAGUGGCCAGAGAGAAGCACCCAGAUGGCUCUUGUUGGCCUGGUUGUGUCCUGACAGGGUGGGUGACCGGGUUGUCCACGUGAUGUGAUGAUCGUGUCUUGGUUCUGUACCUGUUGGGCCAGGCAGCCUCAGCAAGUGUCCUGGGGAAUGUAUGCCCUGCAUCUGCCUGGGGGCCGGGGCAGUCACAGAGCAGUGGGGAUGAAGCAGCUGGCUCCAGGCCUCCCAGCUGCCACCACAGCCUCCAGGAGACCACCCCUUUCCCAUGCCAGGAGAUUCUAUUAAUGUCAUCCAUUCAGGUGCUGGGUGAGACCAAGCAGACCUGGCACUGAGACAUAUUUCCAAGUUCAAUGAGGUAUCUUCCAGUUCGAAUCCCACAACCUGUGCUAUUUAAAGGAAACUGACCUAUAAAAAGCAAAAUAAAAAUGUUCUGAAA
rnacentral:lncRNA from 1 species